UACGAAGGGGGCUAGCGUUGUUCGGAAUUACUGGGCGUAAAGCGCGCGUAGGCGGAUCGCUAAGUCAGGGGUGAAAUGCCGAGGCUCAACCUCGGAACUGCCUUUGAUACUGACGAUCUGGAGAUCGGGAGAGGUUGGUGGAAUUCCGAGUGUAGAGGUGAAAUUCGUAGAUAUUCGGAGGAACACCAGAAGCGAAGGCGGCCAACUGGCCCGAUACUGACGCUGAGGAGCGAAAGCGUGGGGAGCGAACAGG
rnacentral:rRNA from 1 species